UCCCUAUGGGGUCUCUGUCUCCCUAUGGGGUCCCUAUGGGGUCUCUAUGUGUCCCUAUGGGGUCGCUAUGGGUCGCUAUAGGGCCGUGCUGUGCCCCACAGCCAUGGGGGAGCCUUAUGGGUCCCUAUGGGGUCUCUGUGUGUCCCUGUGGGGUCUCUAUGUGUCCCUGUGUGUCCCUAUGGGGUCUCUAUGGGUGUCUAUGGGUCUCUGUCUCCCUAUGGGGUCUCUAUGGGUCUCUAUGUGUCCCUAUGGGGUCGCUAUGGGGCCGUGCUGUGCCCCACAGCCAUGGGGGAGCCUUAUGGGUCCCUAUGGGGUCCCUAUGGGGUCUCUAUGG
ensembl:lncRNA